UAGCUCAGUCGGUAAAGAAUCUGCCUGCAAUGCAGGAGACCUGGGCUCAAUUCCCAG
rnacentral:tRNA from 1 species